AUUGAACGCUGGCGGCAUGCCAUACACAUGCAAGUCGAACGGCAGCACGGGAGCAAUCCUGGUGGCGAGUGGCGAACAGGUGAGUAAUGUAUCGGAACGUGCCCAGUCGUGGGGGAUAACGUAGUGAAAAUUACGCUAAUACCGCAUACGAUCUAUGGAUGAAAGCGGGGGAUCGCAAGACCUCGCGCGAUUGGAGAGGCCGAUAUCAGAUUAGGUAGUUGGUGGGGUAAAGGCCCACCAAGCCAACGAUCUGUAGCUGGUCUGAGAGGACGACCAGCCACACUGGAACUGAGACACGGUCCAGACUCCUACGGGAGGCAGCAGUGGGGAAUUUUGGACAAUGGGCGAAAGCCUGAUCCAGCCAUUCCGCGUGCAGGAUGAAGGCCCUCGGGUUGUAAACUGCUUUUGUACAGAACGAAAAGGUUUCUACUAAUACUAGGAGCUCAUGACGGUACUGUAAGAAUAAGCACCGGCUAACUACGUGCCAGCCGCCGCUGUAA
rnacentral:rRNA from 1 species